GUGUUGUAUGAAAGGAGAGAAAGUUAGCGCUACCCUUGAUAAGGAUGGAAGAGGCCCUCAGGCCUGAUGACCCACACAUGAUUAAGGCAUUGCCACCUACUUCUUGGCAUAAACACACACUAAU
rnacentral:ncRNA from 1 species